rnacentral:siRNA from 1 species
UUCAUGAUUUUGUAGGCUGC